rnacentral:tRNA from 1 species
GGUGGGUUGGCUCAGUGGUUAGAGGUUAGGUCUCGUAACUUACAGAUCGCGGGAUCGAAUCCCGCUAGAGGCUG